GUCGACUGCACAAGUUUCAUUUUUGUUGAGCUUAGCGACUGCUCAGUCUGCCGUAACAAGUAUGGGCAGCCCUGGAAGUAAUUCUUCUUUAGCUUCCGGAAGUAGUAACCGCGAGUUUUAAAGUCGGCGCUACCAUAGCAACCAUGCCCCAAUAGGAAGCAGCCACAAGGCCUUCGUAGGGCCCACCCACCGGCCGCCGAGACGCUCCCGGCGGAGGCGGAUGUGCAGUCCAAGCACCUUGCAGCCUCCGUGACGGCUGGGACGUGAAGCACUUAAGAAGAAAAAAGUUUAAGAGGCUGAGCGGAAAGACUCCAAUUUGGCUAUUAGGCCAGCGGCCAGUAUUUCAGAUUAGGUGUACGGGUUACGUGUUGGAUGUGAGCUGGGUGGCAUCCUGAAUGCACUUGAACAGAGUAUUUGGAUUGGAGUAACGGCUUUCUGAACGUGCAUCUGAUUUAGUAAACCUUAGGUGCCUACUAUGUUAGGUAACAUUCAAACUAAAGUUGGAUUUUUUUUUUUUUUUAAGAUUUUACUUUUAAAUAAUCUCUAGGUCCAAGGUGGGGCUCGAAUCCACAACUCUCAGAUCAAAGGUUGCAUGCUCCACCCACUGACCUAGCCAGGUGCCCCAGUAUUUUGUAUUUAAAUUGAAUAAAACAGUGUUUUAGUUCAGCCUAAGAGAUGGAGCUGGUGCGGUUUACCGGAGAAGCCCUGUCAAGUGUUUGUGUGUUUUAAAUGCAUAAACACCUAAGGGAUCAAAUAGGCCAGUCUGUAGUAAGUAAAUUUACAUGAUAGUCACUCACGUGUUUCUUUAAUAAUAUUGAGUACCUACUAUGUGCUGGACACUAUAUUAUGUAUAAAUACUAACAUGUAUUGAUUUAACAAAUCACUAUUGCUAUCAAAUAUUUGGGGCUGAAGAAAAUAGGAAGAUGAAAAAGGACUACAAUAUAGAUUGUGUACAACAGCCUAUGUUUAGAAUCAUCUGCUUUGAUGAGUGUUCAUUGAGCAUCUACAGAAAUACCCAAAAGAUGGACUGUCUGCUUUCAGUAUUUAAUAACUCCUUUCAGUCCUUCUGGUUCUUCUGGAACUGAAGUCCCACAAGCAAAACAAGAACAAACAUAAAGGAGCUAUAAAGCAUUUUAAAAUUUGACAAAUACCAUAUAAUAAUUAUUUUAUGAGGUGUCCGGUUAAGAACAUUUAGUUUGAUUAUUUUAUCCCUCAUCUAAGAUAAGAUUGCUAGUCUACGCAGUACAUUCUGAUAAUUUGCAUUGGCCUUUUCCCUGCCUGGCCAGGGGAUCAGUACCAAGGAGUUAUCUACUCCAUUAAACUCUCAGUCCUUAGGCUCUGCUGACCAUCAGCCAAAGAUUUGCAUCCCAUAAAAUCCUGAGGGUGCGUGUGCGUGUUUGUGUGUGUUUGUGUGUGUGUGUGUGUGUUUUAAUUUCUAUCUUACAUUUAUAUAAUAGCUUAUAUGUUUUUAAAUAUCUUCACCUAAUUAUCUCACUUGACAUUUUCAAACACCAUAGGCUAGACAAGUCUAUUCAUUUUACAGAAGGGAAACUGAACUGAGGUCCUCAGAGACCAAAAUCCCAUUGUUUAAAAGUGGCAAAGUCAUUCUGAGGGCCCGAACCUUCUUUUCGGUAGGCACUAUUAUUAUUAUACAGAUGAAGAAACCGAGACUUAGAGAAAUUGAUUCUAAGUAGCAGCCCACAUGUACUUUCUUGUCCGGAUUCUCACGUAUCCUGCCUCCACCUACUUCCUGUUCCCGUUCCCUCCUUUGUAUUUUUGUCCAUAACACUCAUCACUGUUUUAUACAGUAUACAUUUUAUUUAUUUGUCGUGUUUAUUAAUCUGUGCCCUUAGCUAGGUUGUCUGUUUUGUGAGAGGCAGAACUUUUUGUCUAUUUUGUCCACUGCUUUAUCUUCUGAAUCUAAAAUAGGGCCUAGUCUACAAUAAAUAUUGCCUCAGUAACUGCAAGAUUAAUUCCUUAGCUCCUAGCAAAAGGCCUAACAGCAAACUCCUUCCAUUAUUCCUUAGCUGUUUUCAUACAAAUUUAUUUAAUCCAUAACGGAUCUAAAGUGUAGGUAUGAUUUCAGUUUUGCCAACAAAAUGGUUUUUUUUUUUUUUUUAAUUGAAAAAUGUGUUACUGUUUUCGGAUAAGAACACAGGAAAAAAACCCAAAACCAUUCUCCCCUUUAUUCUGUGCACCUAGAAGGCUGAGUAGAUACUUCUGGGGAGCCCAAACUUUAAACUUUGUAUCUUCUGCAUUGAAGGAGGCGCUAUUUUAUACCUUUUGUGGGGGGAGAAGAGAGCAAAUGGAAAGUGUCUCACAACCAGAAAAAAUGCUGCUUCUUAGCCUCACAGUCUCUGCCAUCCCAUCAGCCUGAAAUGUACCUAGCCAGACCCAGGCUCUCAAGAUUCCCAAGAUCCUGGAGGUGAACAGAUGUCACCAGGACACACUCUUCACCUAGAUUAUCCCUUCCCUACAGGUUUCUCAGCCUUUCACGGAUAUGAGAGGGAGCAGCUCCUUUUUUUAAAAAUCUGCCUUUGUAAUAAACUUGCUGGGCCAUUCUGUGCUCAGAAGCCCUAGGAA